AUGUUUGUGUUUGUUGUUGUAUACAGAUCGAAAAAUAGAGAAAGAAGAAGAGAAACGAUCCGUCGCAAGAACAACCAUCGUGUGCGAGGGAUUGUUAAUGACGUAACCGGCGGCCACUGUGAAGCCACCUCUGUGCAAACCGCAACGAACAACAAGCUACCGACCCUACCCGCAUCCGUCUGCCCUCCAAAUCGCGAACACAGCCCAAGCUCCACCGCGAGAAACCCACAACUCUAG